GGGUGCUAUACAUGCAAGUCGAACGCUUCUUUCCUCCCGAGUGCUUGCACUCAAUUGGAAAGAGGAGUGGCGGACGGGUGAGUAACACGUGGGUAACCUACCCAUCAGAGGGGGAUAACACUUGGAAACAGGUGCUAAUACCGCAUAACAGUUUAUGCCGCAUGGCAUAAGAGUGAAAGGCGCUUUCGGGUGUCGCUGAUGGAUGGACCCGCGGUGCAUUAGCUAGUUGGUGAGGUAACGGCUCACCAAGGCCACGAUGCAUAGCCGACCUGAGAGGGUGAUCGGCCACACUGGGACUGAGACACGGCCCAGACUCCUACGGGAGGCAGCAGUAGGGAAUCUUCGGCAAUGGACGAAAGUCUGACCGAGCAACGCCGCGUGAGUGAAGAAGGUUUUCGGAUCGUAAAACUCUGUUGUUAGAGAAGAACAAGGACGUUAGUAACUGAACGUCCCCUGACGGUAUCUAACCAGAAAGCCACGGCUAACUACGUGCCAGCAGCCGCGGUAAUACGUAGGUGGCAAGCGUUGUCCGGAUUUAUUGGGCGUAAAGCGAGCGCAGGCGGUUUCUUAAGUCUGAUGUGAAAGCCCCCGGCUCAACCGGGGAGGGUCAUUGGAAACUGGGAGACUUGAGUGCAGAAGAGGAGAGUGGAAUUCCAUGUGUAGCGGUGAAAUGCGUAGAUAUAUGGAGGAA
rnacentral:rRNA from 1 species